rnacentral:rRNA from 1 species
AACGAACGCUGGCGGCAUGCCUAACACAUGCAAGUCGAACGAAGCCUUCGGGCUUAGUGGCGCACGGGUGCGUAACGCGUGGGAAUCUGCCCUUGGGUUCGGAAUAACAGUUAGAAAUGACUGCUAAUACCGGAUGAUGUCUUCGGACCAAAGAUUUAUCGCCCAAGGAUGAGCCCGCGUAGGAUUAGGUAGUUGGUGGGGUAAUGGCCCACCAAGCCGACGAUCCUUAGCUGGUCUGAGAGGAUGAUCAGCCACACUGGGACUGAGACACGGCCCAGACUCCUACGGGAGGCAGCAGUGGGGAAUAUUGGACAAUGGGCGAAAGCCUGAUCCAGCAAUGCCGCGUGAGUGAUGAAGGCCUUAGGGUUGUAAAGCUCCUUUACCAGGGAUGAUAAUGACAGUACCUGGAGAAUAAGCUCCGGCUAACUCCGUGCCAGCAGCCGCCGUAACAC